rnacentral:lncRNA from 1 species
AAGAUUUCUGUUUCUGUCCCACGAGCUACGCAGGUACUUCUUCAUCCUUUGAGCGAAAUUUCAAUGUCCAAUCCAUCUGUUCUUUCCUGCUUUCUGUUUCUCUACAGCAUUUAAAUCUCUCUCUCAAGAUUUGCUGAACAUUUCUGUUUAGUUCCCUUUUUUGGUAUUCUGUAUAUACUGUUUUGGUCAGACAAGGAAUGUUCUGCAAUAUAUACUGAAGUUCUUGAAUCUAUGUGAACUUUAAAGUCAAAGAUAUGUCUAUUUAAGAUGCUUUUGCAUGUUCAUAAGGGAAAACAUCAGUAACGUUGCAAUGUUUAUUGUUUUUCUGCAUUUUCUCUUUUUAUGGGUUGUCAUAGGAAACGGCCCUUUUUGUUGUUAUAUCCAUGGAUAUUCUCUUGAUGAUAGUAACAUCUCUUCUUUACUGUUGUUCUCUUUCUCUACAGCCUUUAAAUUUGUCGCUGAACCUUUCGUCAACAUUUCUGUUUAUUUGCCUUUUUGGGUAUUUCGUAUAUAUUGUUUUCGUCAGACAAAGAAUGUUCUACAACAUAUAGUCAAAUUCUUGAAUGCAUCUGCACUUUAAAGUCAAACAUAUGUCUAUUUCAGAUGUUUUUGCAUAUUCAUAAGGGAAAAAAGGAGUAGAGUUGCAAUCUUUAUUGUUUGGCUGUAUAUUCUCUUUUCCUGUGUUGUCAUAGGACACACGACUUUUUCUUCUUAUAUCUAUCGCUGUUCUGUUGAUGAUAGUAACAUUCCCUUUUAUAUAAUAAGUUGUUAAUUCUUUUAUUUUUUACUACAUUUGGAACCUAAUUGGUUAGCAAUAUAUGUUAUUUGCCAUGUGCCAAUUUAUGUUUCUCCAAUUCCUACUUUGUCUUUUGUUUUGCUCUUUUGGUCAUUCCUAAUUUGUCUCCUCUACACCAUAUUAAGCCAUAUUAUACUGUAUGUAUGUGCUUCAAACUUCUGCUGAAUAAUUCCAUCUAUUUGUUUGUUACACUAUCUUUACCACCGAAUCGCCACAACGCCUCCAAAACACAAGAUUCGCUUUUACACUUUCACUUCUUCAAAACUUUGGCUUCCAACGCUUUCUCCAUUUCUGUUUUCCCUGCUGUUUACGCUUUCCAUUCUCCAAACAAAUCCCUUGCCAAAAGGAAAUACAAUAUUUCUUCUAAUAUAUUUAAUAAUAAUUCCUUUCAUUUGUUCUGUAUGUACUUCUCACUUAUUCCAUACUGAAUUUGCUCAAAUUCAAUAUUCCUAAAUAAUCAUUUCCCCCCGCAGGAGAUUGCGUCUAACUUGGCGAUAGAAAUAGCUGUCAUACAGACCAUCCCACUAGGUCUGCAGCAGCCUCUUCAUUAUCACCACCUUAGAACGAUUCCUUCAGCUGCUCACCCAAACCUUAUAUACAUACUACGCAGUCCACAAGAUUCAGAGACAUCCGACACGCGCUCACACGUACCUUAUAUGUUCUGUUUCAUCAUCUAUACGAUUUCCUACACCCACCAGCUAUUCUCCCACAGUUUUCCUCAACUGUUUACUCCCGCAGCAAAGUGUCUGAUAAAGGUCCUACCAUUAACUUUGGGUAGUUUAUUUGUGCUCCUAAGUUACUACUUCUCUUAUUUAUUUAUUCACCAUUGUUUGCGCGUCACUUUUCCUUCAAGUCUUUUAAUUAUCUUUGUGAGCUUUCUUCAAUUUUCUGGUUUCCAACAUACUCCAAAUUCUGAGUGCCUAUUAAAAUUCAUUAGCUGCUACAAAUAUCCCAUGUAAUAUAAUUAAUGAUUCAUUUCAGAUGUUCCAUAUGCCGCUCUAACUUCUUUCAUAUUCAAUUUCCCGCAUUUGAAAAAACUAGCUACUAAAUCUAUUUUACAGGAGAUUGCCUGCAACUGAAAGGUAGAAAUACCGUUGAUACAGAACAGCCUGCAGGGUCUUUAAUUGCCCACGCAAAGCAUCUAUACAUGCUAGCCCGUCCACAACAUUCACAUACAUCCUACAUGUGGUCGCAGGUAGCUUAUAUGUUGUCUCCUAUGCUCUAAUUUACUGCUUAACGUUUCAAGUUUGUCCAAUUUGCUGUUUUUCCUGGAUAGUCCAAACUGUUUCUAAGCUUAUCCUUUCUUUAUUUCUGGAUAGUUGUUUCUACGGUUAUCCUUACUUUAUUUCGGUUGCUGAUCAUUUCUUUUCCUCCUAUUAAAUAUCCUUCCGAUAUACGAGCCAUUUACAUGUUAUGCUUGCGUAAGAAGGAAACAAUUAGCUAACAAAAAAUGCCACUAUAAUACAGCAUACACCUUCCAUGCUCUCUGUUGGACAACAAACAAUUAUUACAUUCACCAAUAGAUGUGACCUCUAUUUCUAAGCAGUUUACGUACAUUCCAAAUUUAUCGUUCGUCCUGUACUUUAGCUUUCUUUAGCUAUGUCAAUUCAAAUUGCCUUUUUUCCCAUUGACUUUCUUCGCACUCUAUUCUUCAGUAACAACACAAAACCUCUACAAACUUGUUAGGUUUUCUGCUAUCGUCAAAUGCAAGCUAAAAACAUUUAAUUUUUCCCCCCACACAUUUUCUACACCGUAUUCUUUGGUGCGUCAAUGAUACAAAAGGUGCAUCAUCUCUCUUUGCUGCCUGUCCAUUGUUUCUGUCUUUUUCCUCCACACACACAUUUGUAAGCUAUAUCGUUUCUUUCGAUCGCUUUCAAAUGUCACUUGCUGCUGCUACUUACACUUUUUCUUUGUACCUCAUUUUAUCUGUUCAUUCACCUCUGCUGAAGUGUGCUAACAGAUUUGCACAUGAAUGUACUUUCACUGUGACAGCACUGUUCUUUCUGCUUUUAUUUGUUGCUUAUUCUCUGUUUCUUUACACAAGAUACAACGUUUAUUAUCCUUCUGCAGUUUAUACGUGAACUGACCCAAUAGUAACAGCUAUAAUUCUGAAGUAGUGUACUUGUUCCACAUUCUUUCGCAAACUUCACAUUAAGGUUUGACCAAAAUUUCUCUUCUCCAACUUUCUCUCUUCAGAAUGGACACUGACUGAUUUUCGUGCAAUAUUACUAUCAGCUGUUGUUUUCGGCUUGGAUAAAACCUUUACAUAAAACCUAAUAUACAACUACAGUUACCUACCAAAUACACUGCCAAUGUUUCGUUCAGCAACUUCAAACUUAUUACCUCAAACCUAACAUUGGUUUUCUUUAGCAAAAAACUAUCUACCCAUCAGAGUCAAUGUUUGCUCUUUUAUUUCUUCUCUUUCUGCUUCAGAUUUCUAUUUUCUUCUAUUCUACAUAGAGGCUCACCUCUUGCAUGGCAGUCGUUAGAUGGAUAAGCUACCUUUGCCUUUUCUCUUCUCCCAACAUUGCUGUCACUCUUAGUAGUCUGUUAGCAUCUACAUGUCUGCGAAAUUUUACCAAGCAAUUAUUUCAGGUAACAAACAUUUAACACUUAUAGGAUGGAUUGGUAACAACAUAAACCGGUAAAAUAUCAACUGUUUCUUCUUUCUGGAAUAUAUUGCAGAAAAAUUCAGUAAUUUUAAAGAGAAAUAACAGACAAACAAAGCAACUGAUACCUAAAGGGCCAACAGCGUAAAGAAUAACAUAGGAAAGGUGAACAACAGGAAUAGAGCUCUCACUUUGCCUACAGAGUACCCGUCGUCCCCUCAUUUCCGUUCUCAUCUGACACAUUUAUUCCUCUCCACUGUCAUCUAACAAAAAAAUUAAAACUCAUUUGAUUUCCCCUUAAAAUAUGUACAUGCUGAUAGUUUACGCAGGAAGAUGAAGGUAGAACAAAUUGUUCAUGGCUAAAAAUGCCAAAAAACAUUUCACACAUGAUAUAUACAAUCAUAAUUCAAGUAGGAAAAAAUUUAAAAAAACAAAUGAAUGUAGCCAAAAAUUUAAUAGUUCAAAUUUUACACCUAAAUGUCAUGAUUGACAAAUAACUAAUUGCACCUACAUGGUUACGAGAUCAACAUAGAAGCAAAAGUUAAUAGUAGGAUACAUGCUAUGUGCUCUUUCAUGCUUCUCUAAUUUAUGUUCAUUGUUUCUCCUACCUUCCUUUGGCAACAGUUGGUUAAUGCUUUCCUAUUACAUCAAAAGGUCACUUCUACACUAUGUUGCUCGGACUCUUCAAAAAUGCCAAUGGAUGCAUGUCGGAUUCGCCAAAAGUAGUGUAUUUUUGGAGAAUCCGAGACGGGUGCGGCAUCAAAAGUGAAGAGUCCGCGCAACUAAGCUUCUACAGCUAGAAAGUCAAUUUUACUCUACGUUCCUGCUUUCCUUUGAUGCUUGUUCCCUUUUCCUUUAACGUGCUGGAAAAAACUACUAUUUUCAUGCAACUUCAUUGUGUAUGCUCAGUUUUAUGCGUCAUUAUUCUUGUACUUUUGUUUUGCACAUGUGCAAUGCCUGUAUUACUUCGAAAGGCAUUCUCUAAUGUAAUUUCGUACUUAUGUGACCUAAUUUUACAUUUAUGUCCUGCCUUUCUGUUUUCCUGUCCACAACUUAUCUUACUUGAUGAAGUUUUGUUUUCUCAUAUCGUUCUAAUUGUUUAUAGUUAAUGUAUGUUCCUUGCAGCUACACAAAAGAUAUACAACACACCUUUGGCUUUUCAGGCAUUAUUUGUUUGCAGUACUGCAAAACAAGGUAAUGCAAUACUUCCCUAGCUCAUUUCUCUAUUACAGUGUUUACUUUACAACAUGAAUUUUGCAUAAUGUUUCUUCUCAAAUGGUUAUUUUCAUCCUUCCUUACAACAAAUUAGUACACCUACAUAUGAAGAAUUUCAUCUAAUUUGCUCUUGCAUGUUUCCGAAUAAAACUAAACACACACAUUACUUUCCAUUCUUUAUCCGCAUAGUACUGCUACGGAGAUUUGUGUGAUAAUAGUUUCCCUUACUUUCAUUCCUCCAGUAGUUUUUGUUCCACUACUUUGACUUGCUUUGAGGUUAACAACGAAGCUGACCAAACAAUCGAAUAUGCAAAUGAAGUGUUUGGUCAAAGUGUUGAUCUUCAGUAUAACUUCUGUACAAGCUGUAGACAUCAUCAUCCUUCACCAGAAGCUUUACUAUUCACUUCUACAACAUCAUCAUC